rnacentral:sRNA from 1 species
UGAACACAAUAUUAUUUUAAUUUAUGAAUGCUUUCCUUUUUGUAUAAUAUUUUUUGCUGAGCAAAGCACAAGCUAUAUCUAGCUCAGUAUCUUGGACUUUAUGGGUUCUUGAUAGAGUUUGACUUAAGUUACUUGGGAGAUUUUGUACAAGCACAUUAGGUGUUUCUGUUAUAAUUGAAAAGAGAAUAAAUAUUCAAAUCUGUCAUUGAUAAGGAAGCUAUAGGCUUUAGGUGUUUCUGAUAUAAUUUAUUCAUGGAAUAACUAGUAACUAGUUUUUAUUAACUAUUUAAUUUGGUUAAAUUAUUAUAAUGUCUACUCUUUAAUUUAUUCUAUUUUAACAUAAUUUGCCUUUUCUUCACUUUUCUAAGGUGGUUGUGGAGGCAGAGAAUCAGGUUAUACCUUGAAGGGACUGGCAUAAACCCUGUUCCUGUGGACCUUCACGAGCAGCAGCUAAGCUUGAAUCAGCACAAUAGAGCCCUUAACAUUGAAAGAGCUCAUGAUGAAAGGUCUGAGGCUUCAGGACCCCAACUUCUGCCAGUGAGAGCACUAAAUGAAGUCUUCAUUGGGGAGAGUCUGUCAUCCAGGGCUUCCUACUAUGAGAUUUCAGUUGAUGAUGGUCCAUGGGAAAAACAGAAGAGUUCAGGGCUGAAUUUGUCUACUGGUACAGGAUCAAAGGCCUGGUCAUUCAAUAUUAACAGGGUUGCAACUCAGGCUGUAGAAGAUGUUUUAAAUAUUGCAAAACGACAAGGAAAUUUGAGUCUUCCAUUGAACAGAGAAUUGGUAGAGAAAGUAACAAAUGAAUAUAAUGAAUCACUGCUCUACAGUCCAGAAGAACCAAAAAUACUUUUCAGUAUUCGAGAACCAAUAGCAAAUAGAGUUUUCUCAAGCAGUCGUCAGCGUUGUUUCUCCUCAAAGGUUUGUGUUCGUUCUCGUUGUUGGGAUGCCUGUAUGGUUGUGGAUGGAGGAACUUCUUUUGAGUUUAAUGAUGGUGCAAUUGCUUCGAUGAUGAUCAAUAAAGAAGAUGAACUUCGAACUGUGCUUCUAGAACAGUGAAGGAUUUCCUCAUGACAAAUUUUGAUUACUGGCGAGAAUAUUUUUACUUCAGAAACAGACUACCAGUCGUAAAGUGGCAUUUUUUGGUUAUUGUUGAGACUGCUUGCCCGUGGGCUCAGAAGUGAGAUUUGCAUUAUUCUUCUAUUGGAUUCUGAUAGAAAAAAAGACAUUCACUGUAUAAGAAAAUGGAUGGACUGAACUAAUUAGAAUUGAUAACAGUGAAAUUUUUAUAUUGCUUACAAUUGGUAACCAAGAGUGCUGAUAUCUUUUUAAAUUUAGAGGGGCAGGCUUAAAUAAAGGACUAAAUAUUUAGGAUUUGAAACUUAACUGUAUAAGUGUGUUUUCCUUCCCUUUCCUCCUAAUUGUGGGAUUGUCAGAACUGAACACAUAUCAUUUGAUUAGUGCAUAUUUUUUAUAGUACCUGAAAAUCAAGAUUUUGAAAAAAUUUUCAAGACAGAGAAUUUUGAUAAAUCCUGACAUUGACCUAAUUGACAUAGGUAAAUAUGUUUGUAUAUGUGCUAAGAAUUUUCUAAUUUCAGAACACAAUGAUGAUGUUAUGACUAUUGAUUUAAAAAUUUCAAAUAAUUUUUGAAAUUAUAGAUGAAUGCUUUCAUUUGAGUUUCAUUCUGUAAUUUCAGUAGUUCUGGGUGAAAUACAGAUAGCAGAACAAAUCAUGAUGCUGUUACAAAUGUAUUAGUUAUCCAAUAAGUGUUUUAAGUCAAUUUUUUAAAAAUGAUAUGAGUCUUACAGGUUUCUUCCAUCUUUAAAAUGCUCAAACAUGGAUUCAGGGACUAAAAGGAUGAACUGAUUAGACUUUUUUUUCUAUUAGGAGUUUGGUAAAAUAUUGUAAAAAUAUCUUCACCUGUGUGAGGAGUAUUAUCAGAAAGAAUGGAUUCUUUAAUAAAUAUAUAAAACACAGUAGUUUUGGAAUUGCCUUCCUUAGUAUUGUGGUUUUCACCUAGCUUAUAUUCCAAGAUUUACAGAAUAGCUUUUAGGAUAAGAUGUUAGGACUUUUUUUUUUUUUCCCAUAAGAAUUCCUUUAUUUUUGGAGGAAAUUAUUAUCUAAUUCUUGAUCUACUUAUAAGUAAUCCUAGAAUUUUUGCCAGAAGAUCCCGUCGUUGCAUAAUGAAACAGUUGGUAUUCUCGUGCCAUUGUUCAAAAUCAUGUGUUUCUUUCAUUUGGUGCUGAAAAUUUCUGUUCAAUCAUUGACAAAUAUUUAUUAAACACCCACUCUGUGCCAUGUACUACUAUGUCAGGUGCUGGAUAUGUUGAUGAAUGAAACAGACUCUAUCCUUAUACAAUUUGAGUCUUGUGGGCUCAGAAGUAAAUUCUGUGAAAGCUGGACGGAUAGUCAAAUUCAGUGCUCUUAGUUUUGCCAAUAUUUAACAUGUUGUUCUUAUCAAUUUUUUAAAAUAAUGCACAAAGUUAAUCUAGGUUUUGAUGUAUAUCCAGAGAAUCAAUUUUUCUUAAAGUAUCUGCAUAGACAUUCAUAGCAAAGAAUUUAUGACAUAUCAGAUAGAAAUACAUUAAAAUGUAGUGUUUUCCCAGAGCUUGAUCUGGCUUUUUUUUUGAUAUACAUAAGAUACCACUUUAUAAAGAAGCUCCAUACUAUAGAACCUCCCCUAACAGGCUUAAAAUACCUUCUUUUUUUUUUUUUUUUGAGAAUGGAGUCUUGCUUUGUCGCCCAGGCUGGAAUGCAGUGGCAUGAUCUUGGCUCUGCAACCUCCAUCUCCCAGGUUCAAGAGGUUCUCCUGCCUCAGCCUCCCAAGUAGCUGGGAUUACAGGCACGCACCACUACGCCUGGCUAAUUUUUUGUAUUUUUAGUAGACAGGGGGUUUCACCAUGUUGGUCAGGCUGGUCUCGAACUCCUGACCUUGUGAUCUGCCUGCCCUGGCCUCCCAGUGCUGGGAUUACAGGCAUGAGCCACCAUGCCCGGCCUUAAAAUGCCUUCUUAAAGGAAAAAUGCCAACUCCAUCCUUAAUCUCAAGGAAAUCUGAUUGUCCAAAUAGAUCUGUUAAUAUGUAACAUAUUAAUAGGUAACUUGCUGUGUAAAAUUAUAAGCCAUAUUUUAAAAGGUUUUAAAAAUACUUAUUCUGCUCCAUUUGUGAUAUAAUUUCUAACAUUUCUGCUCUGUGUUGGGGAUUUAUUUGUAAGAAUAAGAGGCAAAGGAAUGUUAGCAUAGCAAAAAUGUGUUUGAAUGAGUUAACCUUUUAAUUGCAACCCUAUGUGAAUAAAAUUACACCACUGUUA